CAGAGCCGUGCCGUCUUGGCGGGGACCCUGUGCCUCUGCACACGAAUCGCUCUCUGCUUAAUAUCCUGUCACCCACAUGCUCAGAUCAAAUAUGCCUGCACAGAGCUGCGUGCUCUCUUUCCCUUCACUUCCUUCGUGCAUGAGGCUCUCUGCCUUUCUGUCUCCUAGAGGAAGAAAGUGUGUCUUCGUAGCUUCCCCGGCAUCCUGGCCCAUCCUAGGUUCCGAUAAAGGUUUGCCAAGUGAAUGAAGGAAUGAAUAACAGAAAAUCAGACAAUUGAGGAAUAACUCGAGCUUUACCAAAUGCUAGUGUGAAUCCAGGAAUCCCCCUAUGAUAAAGAAAUUUAAUUUCCAUGAGAUUUGCUCAUCACACUGGCAAUAACAGUGUCCUAAGGAUCAAAGAGUAGAGUAUUGAUGGUCACUCAAGAGACUCCUCUCUGUUCCAACAAUAGCUGUUGAGAAUAUGCCCUUUUCAGAAUAGACCGUUUAACAGUUGCUAAUAUUAAAAUACAAACAGAAUCAUAUUCUGUUAAUAAGCUUAUGUAGAGCUGAGUGCGGUCCUUCUUGAAACAAAUAUACCAACAAGUGUUUAGGCUAACCCAGUAAACUAACAAAGGAACUAGAUGAAUGUGAAGUCUGAGAUGCAUUGACCUAAAGGGUUUUGUUUGUUUGUUUGUUUGUUUGAUCUGUGACCCAGCUGUCCCUGGGAGUUCACUGCACCCCUGAUCAGGUCAGCUCAGGAAACAGGAGCUAAAUAGCAAAGGUGCCGCCAUUUCUAUCAAACGUUCCCUUCCUUCCACUCUUAGCACGUGACAACCUUGUGAGAUGAGGAAGGAACUGACUUCCCUCGGCCCUGAUGGGGACACAGGAGCCCUGGGAGCUGACAGCAUUUGUCCAAGGCAGCUGAGUGGGGCAGCCGAGGAUCUCAUCCACUCCCCCAAUUCUGCUGCUGCCAGGAAACAGCACCCAAGGAUCCAGGAUCAGCCUCCAUCCCACCCUCCUCUUGGCAAGGAUCCAGGAUCAGCCUCUAUCCCACCCUCCUCUUGGCAAGUAUCCAGGAUCAGCCUCCAUCCCACCCUCCUCUUGGCAAGUCUCUGCUCUCAGGGCUUGAGGGACAAAAAAAAAAAAAAAAAAAAAAAAAAA